CAGCACGCAAGAGAAUUUGCUGCAUCACGAUCUCGUUUGAAUUCUCUGAUGGUGGUUUCGUGGUCUACGGGACCGAGUUUAGGGACUCGGGACUAUCAAAACUUCAGACUUGAUGGAGGCCUGGAGGUGCGGGGACAUGAAUGGGGCCACCAAGGUUAUGUCAUUUAUCAAUGAAGAGCAGGAGGAGCAGGAAGAGCAGCAUAAAGCCCCAAGGGCUGAAACUAAAUCCAGCCCACAGUCGGUGCCGUAUUUUUCAAAGAGCCCAGUGGAGUCCCACACAUUCAGGGAGAACUUGCUGAACACUGACUUUUUAAGUGCGAGGCCUCCCUGGAAGGCCAUCCAUUCACCCAACAGACGGAGCAAGGAGCCUCACAAGGAAGCAUUUCAUUGCUCACUGAACACAGACUGGAAGCGCUGUUUUGUCGUUGGAAAAUCUUCAGUCUGUUGCACCCUUCACGUCUUGGCUGGGGGAGACAGGGCCUGACAGAUCGCAUUCCCAGAGUUCCACUGGCAGGGCUGAUGAAGUGAAGGCGCCGCUCGCAGAGAAACCACAUCGCCGGUAUGUGCAGCUGGAGAAACGCUGGUCAAAAAUGUAAUGUUUGUUAAAUGGAAAGGGAAAUAAGCGUCUAUCCUCCAGUGCCUGCUAAAAACUUAAUGAUUUUCCUGGCAGCCUUUGAAGAAAGGACAAAAUCAUAGUUCCAGGUUCAAUUUCCUAUGGCCCCUUGAGAAAAACAACUAAAGGCAGGGAAAGAAAAAAAAAUAAAACCUCUGAUUGGGAGCAAGAUUUUUGCGGCUGGUUCUCCCUUCCAAACCAUGUAAGCUGGUGGUACAAGAGCUAGUAUUAACUCCCCCCACCCCCUCCUGUGGGAGGCAUUAUGAGCCCAGGUGAGGUAUUGAAUGGCGAGGUGCUGGACUUGAACAUCUGAGGGGAGCAUCAGACAGGUGCUCGGAGACAAGGUUGGCAGAGGCUAGGGUCGACAGAGGUAUUGGGCGGCCUAAGUUGGAAAUGGAUUAGAAGAAAGUAGUUGGAGUGGGGCAGGUGGAGAUUGUACUGAGAUGAUAAAGCUGAUUCUUCGUCUGCACUAGCCAUACACUAGGCGUUGCACUGAGUACAUUACACAGAGGACUUUUGUUUCAUAGAAGUUGGCUGUGGUUAUUGCUCUUGGUUUGCAGAUGAAGCCACUGCGGCCCAGUAAGUUAUGAGUCUUUUGCAAGGUUGUCUCCGCCGGGAAGGAGAGAGCCAGGAUUCAAAUCCAAAAGAUGAGUCCGGAAUUUAGUAUCUGGCGCUAGAUCUGGCCUCUGGGACACAGUGGCUGAGUUCCUAAAUUGGGGCGUGAUGCUAACAGCCUCCUCUUCUCUUUUCUCCUCUCCUUCCUUCUGCUGCACUUCUGCCAGCCUGGCCAUCGCCCAGGCUCAAGCGCUAACGAUGAGCAAAGCAAGAGGCAGCACAGGCAGCCUGGAGAGACAGGCCGGGCGGGACCAGGACAGGAAGAGCAGGCUGCUGGGACCGUGUCAGCUGAUGGGAAGGAGGAAAACUCCUCACGUCCCCAUUGGCUCCUCCGAAAUCUGUUCACUUGAACUUUAAGAGAAAAUUAAACUUUUUCUCUACAGUUGGCAAAUUGUUCUCUCAAGAAGCCAAAAAUAAUGAAACUGGGACAGAGUAAUAGCCAAAUAGUGGAUCAAAAUCCAUAUUACAAAAUAGUAUUUCUAAGAGUUGCAUUGAAACAUAUUUUGGGCCAUAGGAGGGAAAACGUUCUGGUUAACAUAGUGUUGUAGGUUGCAAAUAUCUUUAAAUGUUUGAAGGGCUAGCAGUGAAGGGGGGAGCUGACUGCUUCUGCGUGGCUUUCAGUGAGGCGUUAAGUCCUAUUAUUCUAACAGAAAGGCUGUCCGUCUGUGAGCGGCCACCCCCAUGUAGCAGGGCAGGGACCCUUCGUCAGAGAGCAGAAGCCAGAUCACUGGGCAAACUUGAUUGCAUGUGACAACCCCUAGGACAGUUUUAAAAUGCUGAUCCCAGCAAUUUUAAUGUAAUUGAUUUGGGGUGACCCCAGCAUUGAGGUCCUUAACAACUCCACCAAUGAUUCUAAUAGGCAGCAAAGUUUGAGAACCACUGAGCUAGGUAUCUGUCUCAUCAGAGAUGUCGAGGAGCAGACUCCUGCUUUGUGUGGGCGGUCGGUCCAGGUUAUCUCCAACACCCCUUUCCAUGCUAAGCCUGUAAUUUGCUAAGGAAAGCCCUUCACUGUGUGCUUGUCGUUUAUGAUGGCCAGCAAUAACUUUAUGAUCAAUUAUCAGUGAAAGAGGGCUAUGAUUUUUAGUGUGGAGGAGAGUAAGAAGCUGUAAGUAACAAAAGGCCACAUCCAUUCUCUUGGAUUUCUGCCUCUUCAAAAUUACAUUCAAGGAAAAGAAGCGAAGAAAGUGCACGAUAAAUUUAGAAGGCUAUUAAUCCCAAACCACCCUUGUUCCUGGCCCUGUCUCCUGGCACUCUGUGUGAAGAGUUUCUGGAGACUAAUAAUAACGGUGCACGUGAACAUACGUGCAUCCUGAACAUCAACCUCAUUGUUUCACUGGAGCAGUGAGUUGGGCUUUAGAAGAAUUUCCGGAGGGGAGAGAAGAGCACGGGGGUCUGACUGCCAGGUGAAAAGCAGAGGAAGGGCCGUUCUGUCCCUGUCUCCACGUGAUGUUCCUGCCACCUUGCAUCAUUUUUCUCACUCGGAGAUCUAAAUAUUGAAUUUGGCAGGAGCUGUCAGAAUCCUUUCAAACCACAGUCGGAACUUCACACAGGGCCUGCCCAAAUCCCGCAGAGGGACUGAACAGUCAUGAGUGCCAGUGCACUAUUUAAAGACGGGAAAGUACAGGACUGAAGUCCACAGAGCCACUUCCAGUAGAUGUGAAGAGCUUCCCGGAGCACUGCCUGCUGGAAACAAGCUCUCGGGCUGGUUUUCGCCUGCCACGGUCCUGCAGCGCAGUCGGGACACAGCGUCCCCCUGGCGUUUGGGUAACCUUAGAAGUUAGGCAAACGCAGAAGGGCUGGCUCCCUGCAGAGGGGGCACUGUGAAGCCCAGAAAGACUCCAGCGGGGCCCUGCGGCAGUAACACAAAAGGAAGCUAAACUGGGUGUUUCUGAUCUAGAUGUGAGUCCUCGGAAUUGUAACGUGGUACAGCACUGCGGCAGGCAGCAGAGUCGGAGGGGAGGUAUUCAGCAUUUGUCCACAAAACGCCCCCCCAAAAGCUUGAUGUCUGAGAUACUAUCUGUUCUUUAAAAAAUAAAAAU